GACGAACGCUGGCGGCGUGCUUAACACAUGCAAGUCGAGCGGUAAGGCCCUUUCGGGGGUACGACGAGCGGCGAACGGGUGAGUAACACGUGGGUGACCUGCCCUCAGCUCUGGGAUAAGCCUGGGAAACCGGGUCUAAUACCGGAUAUGACUCCAUGACGCAUGUUGUGGGGUGGAAAGCCUUGUGCGGCUGAGGAUGGCCCGCGGCCUAUCAGCUUGUUGGUGGGGUGAUGGCCUACCAAGGCGACGACGGGUAGCCGGCCUGAGAGGGCGACCGGCCACACUGGGGACUGAGACACGGCCCAGACUCCUACGGGAGGCAGCAGUGGGGAAUCUUGCGCAAUGGGCGAAAGCCUGACGCAGCGACGCGCGUGAGGGAUGACGGCCU
rnacentral:rRNA from 1 species